GGAUCAAGAUGAGAACUCACCAGUCUUGAAGAAAGAUGAUGACCUAAAAAUCAUGCUCUGUAGGACUGAAGAGGCCC